rnacentral:rRNA from 1 species
AACUUUCAGCAACGGAUCUCUUGGCUCUCGCAUCGAUGAAGAACGCAGCGAAAUGCGAUAAGYAAUGUGAAUUGCAGAAUUCAGUGAAUCAUCGAAUCUUUGAACGCACCUUGCGCUCCUUGGUAUUCCGAGGAGCAUGCCUGUUUGAGUGUCAU